GUCCAGUGACACAAGCGGCAACACACCUUUCGGCUCCGGAUCUGCUCACGGACGAGGACGGGCGCUCAUCUGGAGUGGCAGAGAGGAGUCUCAGUG